UUUUGCUCGACUACAUCGCCUGACGAAGACCAGCAAUAAGACAGUGGAAAAGUCGCGAUCUCACCUUUCUCGGGCCACAAAACACAUCGCUUUCACGUUACAGCCUUAGAUUUCGUCCGCUCUGUCAAGUCCAGCUUGUGUUUCGUCGAAGUUGCCGAUAAGGUGGCCGAAAUUCGACGUCGAGGAUAAAUGAAUGUCAUUUUGUCACGAAUUUCUUCAAGAACAACAUCAAGCAUAGAAUGUGAACUUCUCGAAAUAAGAAAUUCGAGGGAGGAAAGGGAAACCGGACAACGUUU